AUUGAACGCUGGCGGCAGGCUUACCACAUGCAAGUCGAGCUAGCGGCGGACUGGUGCGUAAUGUCUGGGAAACUGCCUGCUGGUGGGGGAUAACUACUGCAAACGGUAGCUAAUACCCCAUCCCCUCAGGUGUGCCCAGAUGGGAUUAGCUAGUAGGUGGGGUAAUGGCUCACCUAGGCGACGAUCCCUAGCGGGUCUGCGAGGAUGACCAGCCACACUGGAACUGAGACACGGUCCAGACUCCUACGGGAGGCAGCAGUGGGGAAUAUUGCACAAUGGGCGCAAGCCUGAUGCAGCCAUGCCGCGUGUGUGAAGAAGGCCUUCGGGUUGUAAAGCACUUUCAGCGAGGAGGCGUUACUCGCAGAAGAAGCACCGGCUAACUCCGUGCCAGCAGCCGCGGUAAUUC
rnacentral:rRNA from 1 species